UGGCCGUAGUUUUACAGAUUUUUUGGGGUUUGCGGCCUUUCAUAAUUUUUCAUGUGUUGAGUUGGAGCAAUUUGUUGUAUGUCUGUGGAGUGUAUGGCAUAUGCGCAAUGAAGUUGUGCAUGGGAAAAUUGUGGAACCUGCGGAGAUGCUGGUAGAGAAAGCAAUGGAGGGGCACGCUACUUUAAAGUCUGUAAUGCUAAACCGGAGGUCGUGCGUGUACCCUGUCAUGCUCGCUGGAUCAAGC
rnacentral:lncRNA from 1 species